AAUUCUUAAUAAAAGAGAAAAAAAUGCAAUAAUUAUAUAAUAAUAAAAUUAAUUUUUUAGAAUGUUGAGGUUUAUGACGACAUGUCCAAGACAGAAGACGAGAAAAACGCCAAGCCAUUGGUGGAUGAAAAAGUAAAUAAUGACCGUUAUUGUUUUAUUUCAGGAGAACAAAAUUCCAACCGAAGAUGAACAAGCAUAUAACGGGUAUAAAAAUUAUACUGAUGAAGAUUUUGAUAAAGCGAUAAAAGACGUUAUGAAUAAUAAAUUAAAGGCUCCACAGGCUGCCGAAAAGUACAACAAAGUAAAUCUCUGAACACUAUACAAACAUUUAAAAAAAUUACGAAUUAAUAAGACAGAUUAGAUAUACUUAUAUACUUACAUUUUAAAAUGCAUUAAUUCUAUAUUUAUAUUAAUUUCCAGAUACGGAGUCAGCGAGACUUAAUUUCCAGAAGUUAUGCAUUACGAAAUUGAAGCCAUAAAAAGAGCGGUGUCUGAAGUCACUGGCGAUAAGAAUAAUAUAGAAAUUAAUUGCUUGGUGGUGCAAAAGAGACACCAAGUGUGUCUCCACUCUGGAUCCACCGAUAUGGGUGACAUAAGAUAUUCUAACACUCCGGGUACAAUAGUCGAUACAACUAUUACAAAUCCGGAGUACACUGAGUUUUAUCUUCUAUCACAUGCGAGUACUGAUAGCAAGUUGCAGAUAGAAUAUUUCUCACAUAAAUUAUGUGCAAGGUACGAUACAUGUACACACCGAUGAUUUGAGGCCGCAUCGACGUCGAGGAAGUUUAAUUACCGGUUAACUUAAAUCAUCAAUCUUCAGUCAAUCAUCGUUCCGCUAAAUACGCAUCUUCCUACUUAA